CACGCCGUAAACGGUGGGUACUAGGUGUGGGGGACAUUCCACGUUCUCCGUGCCGUAGCUAACGCAUUAAGUACCCCGCCUGGGGAGUACGGCCGCAAGGCUAAAACUCAAAGGAAUUGACGGGGCCCCGCACAAGCGGCGGAGCAUGCGGAUUAAUUCGAUGCAACGCGAAGAACCUUACCUGGGUUUGACAUAUGCCGGAAACAGUCAGAGAUGGCUGCCCCUUUUUGGUCGGUUUACAGGUGG
rnacentral:rRNA from 1 species